rnacentral:lncRNA from 1 species
CUGAGCUACACUUGUCUCAGGUCUCAGGUGUCAGGCUCUGGAGCACUCAGGCUGACUCAGAAACUGACUCUCGGGGGAUCAAAAAAGGAGCAACUGUUCAAAAAUGAUGGAUCCCAUUUUUCAAGACUUGCCAUGCCACACAAGAUGAGACCCCACCGAGACAGGCUCUAACAGGCAUCAGGAAAAGAGGAUGCAGUGUGUUUCUUCACAGGGUCAGACCAGGGAGCUCCAGCCGGCCGGAGCUCCAGGUGCAAUUUUGAAACAAGAUUCUCCUUUCGGAAGGGCAAUCGCGAAUAUAAAGUGAUGAAUUAGUAGCAGUGUCAAGAGUGAAGCCCCGAGGCCAACUUCUACAGAAAAGGAGAUACACGGGAGGAGCCGUUUCCAGGAGAGUCAUUUCUGCUUCCCCCAAAGACAUUCUUCCCUGGUCCCACAGACGCUCGGUUUCGUUUUCAAGGAAGUGGAUUCUGAAGGCGUCGAGGGUGACCGUUGGUAGGUUUUAAGGGUGAAGAAGAGAUCACAGUCGGAGCAAACCAAAGAAGAGUCAAGUGCCAGCUGCCUAAGAAAGAGGAGAGAGGCCCAGAGGGCAGGACCCGAGUCGGGUGAAGGGGCAGGGACGGAGAGAGGGAAUCGGGAGCUGAAGAGAGACGUGCUGGGAGAGGCUGCCUCAGGGCGAGGGGGUGCAGGAGGAAGACAAGGCCCAGGGGCCUUUUCACAAGACUCUGCUGGGCAGGUGUGACGUCAUCUCCUCUCCAGCACGCUCGGAGGAACGCAGAUGUUCUCUUACCGCUCAGUGCACGCUGCAGGGCUCUGAAUCCAGCUCGGGGGCAGGCCCCAGACUGGGCCCCUCCUCACAGCUUCUCUGGCCACUUUCCAGUUACAGUCAAUAUGAAUAGAUUAGGCAGUUUCACCACCUGCCCCAAAUUGCUAUUUUUAAUAAGUUAAACUGGAGCAUCUUUAAGAAUUUCAAAGUCUCUAGGAAUUUAAAUGUAUUAAAUGUAUACUUAUGCAAA